GGGGACUGUCUCGGGGAUUUACUCGGUGAAAAUGCGAUACCGGUGAAGAUGCCGGUUAAGUGCAGUUAGACGAAAAGACCCCGGAAGCUUUACUGUAAGUUGUUAUUGGCUUUAUGUUUUUAAUACGUAGCGUAGUGGGGAGGCUUUGAAGCGUUUCUCUCGGGAGGCGUGGAGCCGCCAAUGAAAUACCCAUUUUUAAAAAUGUAAAAUCUAACCUGUCCGGCAAAACCGGAUGGGGACAGUAGCUGCUGGGCAGUUUGUGUGGGGCGCAAGCCUCCUAAAAAGUAACGGAGGCGUUUAUUAAGGUCAGCUAGGCGCGGAUGGACACCGCGCUAGUCGUGCAAUGGCAUAAGCUGGCUUGACUGGAAGUCGGACAUGACGACCAGAUGCGAAAGCAGAACAUAGUGAACCGACCGUUGGCACUCGAUGCCACGGAAGAUUAACGGAUAAAAGCUACUCCGGGGAUAACAGGCUAGUUCCGUCCAAGAGUCCAUAUCGACGACGGAGUUCGGCACCUCAAAUCGGGGCGCAAUGAAAGUAAUUUCAUUCCUGGGGCAAUUAAAUUUGCCCGAAUAAAAAUUUGGCUUAUAACGGUGGACUCCAAAAAAUAAAUGAUAGGAAAUUUAUUUGGACAAUACCGUGGGAAGUCGUCUACUCAAAAUUUUGGAAAAAUAGAAUAAAAAAAUGACCGCAUGCUAACGGUCAUGAUAGAUAGAACAGAAAUGUGUUAAGAGCCAUAUUCGCUAAGAAAAUUAGUGAGGAAUGAUUUUGGAGCUCGUUUGGCUCUCGUAUUCAACUCAGUUAUUUUACAAUAGACAUACUCAAUUUCAUUGUGACUACGACAGAACGCCUUGAAUUUCUUAACCCAUUUUUUUGCGGCCUUUUCAUGAAAAAAUGGACCGACUGGAUCAAGCGA
rnacentral:rRNA from 2 species